CCCCCCUCGCCCCCUCCCACCAGGGGUGUGGUCUGGUAACUGUUUGCCAAAACCAACAGGUGAGUUUCAGACCAGGAAGUGAAGAGCUUUGAGCAGCCGGUCUUGUUUAAAAGUAACAAAACAAAGGCUGCUUCUGCAUUUAGGGCUGUUUGCUUCUGUUACUCAUGCAGGCUGUGCUGAAAACUUUAAUAAACACUGUUUUACUCAUUCACUCAGAUGGUUUUUCUACUAAAAAAUAACACAGUCAAAUAUGUCCACUCUCCCACUCUGCUCUGUGCUUCUUUGUCUCCUUCUUGGACUCGACAUGGUUGUUUCCUUACUGCUCCCCUGGUGCUGUGAAGCUCUUCCAGCAGCAUGCUGUGAGGCCCUGACUGGAAGAUGGUGCUUGGACCAAAGCUACAGGAAGCCUGGUAAGAUAUUUUCUGCUAAAUGUUGCCUUGGAGGGUUAAAUCUCCCCAGCGGCUUCAUAUUUAAUGCACCAGUGUUCGGAGAGUUUUUGUAUUUGUUCAACCCUGAGCCAAAACUGUGGACGGCUACGCUGUGAUAAUGUCUUAGAGGAAUUAACGAGUCACAUUGAUACCUGAAGGGAAAGAGCUGGUUUGUCAGAUUGAAAGAAAAAUUAGCUGCUUUGUAUUAGCUGUUAAUUCGCCGCCUCCUGUCUAAUUCUAUUCCCAGGAACAUCACACAGAAGUUGAGGCGCCUGUUUUAUCAUGAUACACUGACCCUUCUUUGUGUCUGAUCUUUUAAAUAUAAUCUACUAACCCAG